rnacentral:rRNA from 1 species
UAGGGAAUAUUAGUAAUGGGCGAAAGCCUGAACUAGCAACGCCGGGUGUGCGAAGAAGGCCUUCGGGUUGUAAAGCACUUUUUGAGAGGAUGAGGAAGGACGGUACUCUCAGAAUAAGUCUCGGCUAACUACGUGCCAGCAGCCGCGGUAACACGUAGGAGGCGAACGUUAUCCGGAUUUACUGGGCGUAAAGCGCGUGUAGGAGGUUUGGUAAGUAGGGCGUGAAAGCUCCUGGCUCAACUGGGAGAGGCCGUUCUAAACUGCCGAACUAGAGGAUGGUAGAGGGAGGUGAAAUUCCGGGUGUAGCGGUGGAAUGCGCAGAUAUCCGGAGGAACACCAGUGGCGAAAGCGGCCUCCUGGACCAUUCCUGACACUCAGACGCGAAAGCUAGGGUAGCAAACGG